rnacentral:rRNA from 1 species
GAUGAACGCUGGCUGCGUGCCUAAUACAUGCAAGUCGAGCGAACAGACGAGGAUUUUGUUCCACUGACGUUAGCGGCGGACGGUGGAGUAACACGUGGAUAACCUACCUAUAAGUCAGGGAUAACUUCCGGAACCCGCAGCUAAUACCGUAUGAUAUAUUGCACCGCAUGGCUCAAUAGUUAAAUACGGUUUUGCUCUCACUUAUAGAUGGAUCCGCGCCGCAUUAGUUCGUUGGUAAGGUAACGGCUAACCAAGGCGACGAUGCGUAGCCGACCUGAGAGGGUGGUCGGCCCCACUGGAACUGAAACGCGGUCCAGACUCCUACGCGACGGAGCAGUAGGGAAUCUUCGGUAGUGGGAGAGAGGCUGGCCGGGCCAAGCCGCGUGAGUGAUGAAGGUCUUGCGAUCUUAAAACUAUGUUGUUUGGGAGGAGGGAAUGUGUAAGUAACUAUGCAGGUCUUGAAGGUACCUAAUCAGAAAGGCACGGCUAACUACGUG